CAUACACCUUGACCUGAUUAAUUCCAACUUGUGGACAAGGUUAAAAGGUAAUCCUUGUGGAUACCAACACAAGAAAAAUGCCCUGCAAUCAGGACAAAUACUACCAUAUGCGGUAAAUAUCCAAGUACCUGAUGACAUAACCAUUCCACAAGGGACAAGUAACUUUCUUUUACCCCUACAGGUCAAGAAGGGUCAGAGAUUGGAAAACUCUGACGCCCUAAUCUGUUUAUCCAAUAGGAUACAACAAUUAGGGACAGUGGUAACAUAUACACCAAUGGUAAGUAUUGGUAAGAAUCCCACCUAUGUAAUCGUAUGUGCUAGUGAAAAUUUUCGGUUCGGUUCGGCAUUCCGAAAUUCGGGACUUUCGCAAUUCGGGACUUCGGC